GAGAUUCUAGGGUUGCCAACUCAUGAAACAAAACAAAAAAAAAUUCUGGCAGCUGGAUAGGGUCCAGAGAUGUCCGCAUCUUGUGUGUUGCAAGAUUCAAUCUGGAAACUUGACACCAUAGUCCAACACCAGAAGCAUAAUGGUCACUGUAAAAACACAAAGAAGCUAUUGCCACAGAGAUUAUGAAGAUGCUUCAUGUUGUUCACCAUCUUGGACAUUGGCAUGGAAGGGCAGGAGAGAUUGGAAUAGAAUAGAGGACUGUUCAGAGGAUGUUCGGAUGACAAAACAGCUGGAGAGGUCAGAGAUGAAGAGGAGUGAGGAAAACAGCUGCAGGAGAAGUUUGGAGAAUGAUGCAACAAGAAGUCGGCCUUUCAAGGGAGCCCAGCCCUGCAAGCAACAGGGGAGGCCCCAGUGGAUGAAGCAUCUCAUCCCCGUGAAGAUGCACAGAGCAACCCUCCACAUGCCGUCAAAACCUGCUCCAGCACUGCAGUCCAACAACCUCCUAAGGCAGUAA
rnacentral:lncRNA from 1 species